rnacentral:rRNA from 1 species
AUUGAACGCUGGCGGCAUGCCUUACACAUGCAAGUCGAACGGCAGCACGGGAGCAAUCCUGGUGGCGAGUGGCGAACGGGUGAGUAAUAUAUCGGAACGUGCCCAGUCGUGGGGAUAACGUAGCGAAAGCUACGCUAAUACCGCAUACGAUCUACGGAUGAAAGCGGGGGAUCGCAAGACCUCGCGCGAUUGGAGCGGCCGAUAUCAGAUUAGGUAGUUGGUGAGGUAAAGGCUCACCAAGCCGACGAUCUGUAGCUGGUCUGAGAGGACGACCAGCCACACUGGGACUGAGACACGGCCCAGACUCCUACGGGAGGCAGCAGUGGGGAAUUUUGGACAAUGGGCGCAAGCCUGAUCCAGCAAUGCCGCGUGCAGGAUGAAGGCCUCGGGUUGUAACUGCUUUGUACGGUAACGAAACGGUA